AGUGAACGCUGGCGGUAGGCCUAACACAUGCAAGUCGAACGGCAGCACAGUAAGAGCUUGCUCUUACGGGUGGCGAGUGGCGGACGGGUGAGGAAUACAUCGGAAUCUACUUUUUCGUGGGGGAUAACGUAGGGAAACUUACGCUAAUACCGCAUACGACCUACGGGUGAAAGCAGGGGAUCUUCGGACCUUGCGCGAUUGAAUGAGCCGAUGGCGGUUUAGUUAGUUGGCGGGGUAAAGGCCCACCAAGGCGACGGUCCGUAGCUGGUCUGAGAGGAUGGUCAGCCGGACUGGGACUGAGACACGGUACAGACGCCUACGGGAAGCAGCAGUGGGGAAUAUUGGAGCAGGGGCGCAAGCCUGAGCCAGACAUACCGCGUGGGUGAGGAAGGCCUUCGGGUUGUAGAGCCCUUUUGUUGGGAUAGAAAAGCAGCAGGUUAAUACCCCGCUGUUCUGACGGUACCCAAAGAAUAAGCACCGGCUAACUUCGUG
rnacentral:rRNA from 1 species